rnacentral:lncRNA from 1 species
ACAUAUACACCAUGAAAAAAAUGAGCUCUCGAUCGUUUCAACGUACUAAGACCAACACCUAAUUAACCUCACUGUGACACCGUUAAUCCGUCAUUCUUCUAAUCUCACACUAGCUAUUUCUAUGCAGCUCGAUCGUAAAAUGUUGACAGCUUAAGAUAAUGUCAAAGAUUCGAGAAAACUAUGUUUGCAUAUAUUUAAUUUAAGGGUCAAUUACAUAGAAGUCUAUUUUCAGACAUUUUAUUUCAUAUAAGUCCACCCAAACAUUUUUACUCACAUAAGUCCACCUAAGCCUAAAUAGGGUUUUAUAUUAAGUAUAAAAGUUGAACAAAAUUACAGACCGCCAUCUAAUAAAAAACAUUAGAUUCUCUCUUUUAUAUUUAUAAAAAUGUCACUAGUAUAAAAAGUCAACAACCACUCACAUCUUGGAAAAGUCUCCGGCCGACCUCCGGCGAGGUUUCCGGCUGAUCUCCGGUGAGAUUUCCGGCCGACCUCCGGCAAGGUUUCCGGCGACCUCUGGUGAGGUUUCCGACUAACCUCCGACGAUGACAAAAUUACUACUACCAGCUACAAAAGCUACUACAACCGCCUAC